CUUGCGCGGAAUUCAAGAUGGCGACGGACAAAUGUGCAUUCCUCGAUUUAGCCGUGAAGAACCUUUUGGCAAAUAAGAUAAAAGAUCGACCCAGAGAGAGGUAAAACAGAGAUAUUCUGAGUUUUUAUUACGUUUAAACAGUAAUUACAUGUCUAUAGAAAUAUGUGACCGUUGUGAUUUCCCUUAUUUGUUGAUACAAAUCGGCUAUUUUCCCAAUUUCAAUGUUGGCUUGUUCGUGCAAAAAUGAGAUUUUAUCAUUUUGUACGAUGUAAUAUAUACGCAAUCGCUUUACAGCGUUUUUUAAGGCGACAACAUUAAUUUGUGUGUGGGUAUUUGUUUCGAAUCGAGGGUACGGCAUCUUAAAUCACAAUUAUUUGGCUUAUUACCGAACAUUUUCAAUACGAUUUCAACUUUCGAGCCGAUUGCUCUGUUAGUCUGUUUCUGCCAGCAGGCCCAGCAAUGCCAGUAUGCAUGAGAUAUACUUUGCUCGAAUAUUUUAAAAUAUCUACCGUGUACUGGACUACUGUUUUAACAUAAUAUAAAAGUGGGACAGUAUCUUUUUAUCCUCCAUUUGAUACUAUAUUCUAUAAUAAUGUGAAUAUCAAACGCUUGCUUGUCUCUAUGCUUUGCUAGUGCAUAUUUGUGUUUGUCUCUAUGCUUUGCUAGUGCAACUCUUUGUUUGAAGAUACCAGUAAAUCUCCCUUGAUUAUAAGUUAAGUUAUUUUAUCUCUUGAAUGUCUCCUUUUAUUUAAUUGUCUUGGGCCUUGGCUUGUGUAGGAUAUCAUUCGAUCAAAUAGGUAUAAACGUUCAAAUAUGUUUUUAAUAACAAUACUGGAUCACAGACACAGAUGUGGGUUGACUUGAACACAAUUUUCCCAAAGUUCUUUUAUUAUUUGAAUGUUUCCAUUUAUUGCCACUGUUCAUUACAAUGUUCAUGGUCCCUUUGGCUGGGCUUGUGACCACUUUGAAUUUCUCUACCGAAUAUAAUUUUAUGCUGGUAGCUAUAGUAAAAUUCCUAAUCGCAUGUAUUUCUCAUGCUUGUGACAUAGUGAGAUGAAUAUUAUUUGAAUCGAAAAAAAAUCACAAUUAUAAAUUAUUGUUUGUUUUGCCAAUUUACAUCAAAACUGAAGAUGUACCCUCCAGAAGCCAAUACAAACACAUACAUUAUGCAAUGUAGAUCAAUCAAAAACAAUUAUCGAUCAUAAUAUAAAAUGGUAUACCGCAUGUCCUGAUAAUCCUAAUCAUUCAUGAAAUUAGCAGAAUUUUUUGUAUCAACAAACUUAGGAAAGCCUUAAUUAACAAAGUUCUAAUUGUUAUUUUGUUUUAGCUAUGGCAAUCCACAUUGCACAGCAAAUAUGGUAAUAAUAAUAAUAUGGUAAUAAUUAAUAUGGUAAUUGCACAUUGGACAGCCUUGCUUCUUCCAUCAUCAGAAGUGAUUCUCAACUCACCCGAUGUGUUGCCUUGGCAAAAUAGACAUUUAUCAGAGGAAUAACAACAUUUUUUCUUUUUUGAUAGUACUAGUGAGGCUGCGCUAGGAGAUAUACUUUCCUCCUUACGUUUUGAACCAGAUGAGGUUGUUGAAGCCAUUGACAAUUGUGUGCCUUAAUAUUUUUAAUACUGCAUUAUUAAUAAUAUUUAUAACAUGUACUAUGAACAUUAAAAAUUAACUUGACAUGAAUGAAAGAGACAAAUCAAAUAGGGGUAAUCAUAUUUUCAAACAAAGACACCCAAAAAGCUAUUAAAAUAUCAAGUAUCCAAGCGAUAUAUGAUGAAAACUAUUUUAGUUAUAACGAUAAUAAGGAAAUAAUAUGUUAAUAAAUAUAUAAUACAAACUU
rnacentral:lncRNA from 1 species